ACGUACUAGACAUGUGUAAGUAAUGCGCGUAACAUCACAAAUGAGAUAUCACUCAAACGCGUAAUGUUGCAUUACGCAUCACUCCGAGAAACCAAGCAUUACUUCAAACAUCACUCGAGCAUAUGACUGGCCAAAGCGCGCGUAAACUCGUAAAGCAUCAAUAUAGAUUGACGCGCCGGUAGUCGGUACGAAAGGUCCGUUCAAGUACAAUCCGCGUAAUGUAUAAUGAGCAAUGAGACGUGAUGGUGUGAUGUGUGAUGUUUGUUUGCCGUGCUAUCAUUACUUUGCUAUCCCGCUCGCACCCGCACUCACUGCUCGCUCGCUCUCAUUCCGCAAUGCUUUCGGAACACUUCGGAUCGGUCCGCUCGGCCGGUCGGUAGCAGUCUCAUUUGAGUUAUUGCAAAUUUCAUUAAAUUGAUACGAUAACGGAUUUUUGCACCUGCAAUCGAUUUAAAACUGUAAUGCGUUACCAUAGAGCUUACAAUGUUUUUAGUAUUUUACCUAUAAGGAUGCAGCUAAAUGAUAAUUCGCUUGCGAGUUUGAAUUUGACGAACAAAAACGUAUUUACUGUUUAUUAUUGUUGUGAAAUGUUUGGUUUGGUUGACUUUCGCGGCAAACUAAAUUAAGCACGAGUGAAGUUACUUAUUUAUCUUUAAUUUAAUAGUGAGCUAGUGUUUACAGUACAUUCUCGUAUCAGUAUCAUAUCAUAAUUUUAUUGAUAUACCCAAAUAAAAAUACUACCUAGUGACUCUCGAUGGCGUUAUCUCAUUAAUUAACAGAUAUUUUCUUUUAUUUUUUAUCUAUGAUGCAUAUUUUACGACUAUAAAAAUAAAAACAUUAACAAAAACGAUCUAUCACAUGGCGGUGACAAAACGCAAUGCGUAAUAGAUCGACGCGCCGAUAUGAUACGCCCUAGAGUCCUAACACUCGCUGCGUAAUGUAGUUGGUACUGUGAUGACUGUGAUGAGUGUGAUGUUGCCAUUACGCGCGCGCCUGUAUUCGUUCGGGUAAAUGUUUCGUUUCGAGUGAUAAGUGAUGUGAUAUCUCAGUGUAACAUUACGUUUUCGAAAAAGUGAUGUGAUAUAGCAUUACUUUUUGAAGCACUGUUUCGCGCAUGUCUACCAAAUAACACUAGACCCUACUCAUAGUGUUGUGUUCCUGCCGGUGAGUAAGGUUGCCAGAGCUCAACGAGGGGGGGGCGGGGUAGGGUCGGCAACGCACAUGUAACUCCUCUGGAGUUGCAGGCGUACAUAGGCUACGGAGACUGCUUACCAUCAGGCGGGCCGUAUGCUUGUUUGCCACCGACGUAGUAUAAAAA